rnacentral:misc_RNA from 1 species
CCAAUUAAAGAAUCGCAUAUUCUUACACACCAUCUGAGCACUUGUACUUGUUGCUUCCGUGCGCUGCGAGUGUUAAUAACUUGCAUCCGUACAUGAUGCGGGCUCACGGAAGAUAUCCUUCAACCCUGUAUUUAAUAUGUCGUCUGUCUGAAUUUGAUUGAAUUACAAACGUUA